GUCAUGGCUAAUGUCAUUGAUGUUAGGAAAAAGGGGAAGAAAUUGGUUGGGUGAAUAAUUGUGAUGUUUAAAUCUUUGAGGUAACCAGCGUAUCAUCGAUUUGAUGUAGUUGCUAAAGGUAUGAGAACAAUGGAGAUGCCCAUAUUCAACCACCACGAGUUGAUCCUCAAGUGAAACCGCAAAGGAAAGAGGGAUAUCUUCGGAGAGACAUCAUCGUCGGUGACUAAGAGUAUAAGUAUGUUUAGCCUAGAGUAUUCCGUCUCCCUCUUGGAUGCUCUCAACAAUUUUCCCUGGCCAUUCUUGUUGUAUUGAAACCGCGAAGGCAAACUUAAUUUUCGCUUUAUUGCUAAUUGGAGGCUCAUGCGGCCACGUUGUCCGGCCUUCCGCCUGCCCGCCCCGGCCGCCUGUCCAGGCCAUACAAAUAAUGGCCGUUAAUGUUGUUGGCAUUGGCCAUUUAAUGUUUAAUAUUUGUAUCUGUGUGUGCGGUGCGAGCGCAUUUGGCAGAUAUUUAUGUAAUUAAUUUUAAAAAUUAUUACAAAUGCAAAUAUCAAGUCCAAUAGCAUCCGCCCAUCCGCAUUCGCAUCCGCAUCAGCCGCAGUCCGUUCAAACAAUGAAAGAAGCAAAGAGCCAGUGGCAGUGGCAGUGGCGUGUCAGUGCCUGUGUCUGUGGCAGCAACAGGAGCCAGAAGCAAUCAAUACGCGCGAUCAACCGUUAUAUGAGGCAUUAAGCCGCCUCAAUGACUUUUGGCAACAAAAUGAAUCAACAUUUUGGUCAAAGCACCACAAAAAGCAUACGCCAAAUGAACGAUUGUCCUCUCAAGCUCUUGCAAUUGUGGAUUAUAGCCAGUAAAUGUGAAUAAUACAAUUCAUAUAAAUUUGUAAUAUAUUUUAAUAUUAAUAUUAAACGAAUUUCUUUUGUAUAUUUUUUAAA